rnacentral:tRNA from 1 species
UGGGGUAUCACCAAGCGGUAAGGUACUGGAAUUUGACUCCAGCAUUCGCAGGUUCGAAUCCUGCUACCUCAG